rnacentral:rRNA from 1 species
UACAUGUGGGGCAAGCGUUAUUCGGAAUUACUGGGCUUAAAGGGUGCGUAGGUGGUGAGGUAAGUCGGAUGUGAAAGCUCGGAGCUCAACUCCGAAAUGGCAUUGGAAACUACCUUGCUCGAGGGUUGGAGGGGGGACUGGAAUGCUUGGUGUAGCAGUGAAAUGCGUAGAUAUCAAGCGGAACACCAGUGGCGAAGGCGAGUCCCUGGACAACUCCUGACACUGAGGCACGAAAGCUAGGGGAGCAAACAGG